UUUCACCGGGCUAAGACAAAAUUAGUUUUUUUUUUUUUUUUAAAAGGGGGAAUAACAGAAUAUCAAUAAAGUUUUGGGGCUGAGUCAGCUGAGAGUUUAUCCAGUUCGAUGUUAAUGGAUGCUCACGCGCCUAGAUUUGAACUUCUUGGUUGACGGUUUUAAAUGAGUCGGCAAAUAGAUCAAUCAGAGAGAUAUCAUCAUCGUCCCCUCCUCUUCCUGCUUUCAAAUUUUCCUUCUUCUCCAUCCUUAACGCCAAGUUACAUCGCUCGUUUGUCAAGUCGGUGAACUAGCUUAGUUCGUGCUUGUAGGUUCGCACGGACAGAGUUCUGUUUGUUGACAAGCCUGAGAUUGUUCUCGAAUAUCUUGAACCGAAGCUCCUUCUGCGUUGAGUUUACUGCAGUUCUUCCCCGCGCUUGAUCAACCAAUGCUCGUACACUUCCAUCAUGUGCGCCUUAAUCUGCGAUGAUUUCGUAGGAUCAUCGAUGAUGGAAAUGGAGGUCAAUCGAUAAAGAGAAGAACAUGAACAGGAUCACAUUUCGUCGCCACGAUAGACCGAUAGAUCUUUGCUUAGGUCGCAGAUCUACCUCUUCCUUUGAAAUGUGUUUCGCACGUAUCCAUUCAUCACAAGACUGCCUGCGUUCUUAUUAGGUUGGAUUGUUCACCGGGAGGAAGAAGCUUAUUAGGCAAAAACAUACAGAUGUCUGGGCAGUCUUAAGUAGAGAGAUGAUCUGAAGGUAAAUUUUCUUUUCCGGGAAAAUCGCAGAAGAGGAAGGCAGGGCUCCAUCUUUUAUAGUUGAUACAUGAUGGAAUAAGUGUUUGAUUUUUGUUUU